GUCCUUUAGAUAAGAGUAUUUAAGGUCUAACCUGCCCAUUGAUUUGAAUUUUAACGGCCGCAGUAUUUUGACUGUGCAAAGGUAGCAAAAUCAUUAGUUUUUUAAUUGAAAGCUUGUAUGAAUGGUUGGACGAGAUAAAAACUGUCUCUAUUUAAUAAUUAGAAUUUAAUUUUUAAGUUAAAAAGCUUAAAUUAUGAUAAAAGACGAGAAGACCCUAUAGAUCUUUAUAUAUACGUUUUUAAUAUUAUUGAUGAUUAUUUUUUUAGUUAGAGAUUAAUAUAUUUUAUUGGGGUAAUAAAAAGAUUAAAUUAAUUCUUUUGUAUUAAACAUAAAUUUAUGAAUAUUUGAUCCAUUAAUAGUGAUUAUAAGAUUAAGUUACCUUAGGGAUAACAGCGUAAUUUUUUUAGAGAGUUCAUAUCGAUAAAAAAGUUUGCGACCUCGAUGUUGGAUUAAAAGUUAUUUUAGGCGUAGAAGUUUAAAAUUUUGGUCUGUUCGACCAUUGAAUUUUU
rnacentral:rRNA from 1 species